AGGGGGAGGCAGCAACCCGCUCCCAAGUCCCUCCCUCCCCAUUGGCCAAACUGUGGGCCGCGCGCCCCCCUCCAUUGGCUACGGCCGGGGACCCCUUCCCGCAGCAGACUCCCCAUUGGCUGAAGCCGGGGACCGCGAGACCCUUCGUGAUCUAGCAUUCCUGGAGGAAGGGCAUGUACCAUUAAACUCCGCCAUUUUGCCUCUUGGUGCAUAAGCUUGAGCCCAUUUACCCAACUUCUGAGAUCUUAUCGAGAAGCUGCUGAUCAUCAGUUUCAAGUGUUUUCCAUCUAUUUGGAGACUGCCUUUCCCUGGUGCUGGCUGCAACCAAUUACUAUUUUAGAGACAAGUUUAACAACCACCUGACCAUCACCUGAUGGUUGCCUAACAUUCCUGGUGGUGGGGUUGGGGCAGCACUCCUGCCCCAACAAUGGGAAUGUUGUCUUAUCGUGUGCAAUUUAAAAAUUAUAUCACUAUGGCCAGGCUCAGUGGCUCACGCCUGUAAUCCCAGCACUUUGGGAGGCCGAGGUGGUUGGAUCGUGAGGUCAGGAGUUCGAGACCAGCCUGGCCAAUAUGGUGAAACCCCGUCUCUACUAAUAAUACAAAAAUUAGCUGGGUGUGGUGGCUCACGCCUGUAGUCCCAGCUACUCGGGAGCCUGAGGCAGAAGAAUCGCUUGAACCCGGGAGGUGGAGGUUGCAGUGAGCCAAGAUCAUGCCACUGCACUCCAGCCUGGAUGACAGAGCCAGACUCCAUCUCAUAAAAAAAAAAAAAAAAAAAAAAAGAAAAGAAAAAGAAAGCAAACUUCAAAAGACUGUGCUACCUUUUGUAUACUGUGCUACCUUUUGUAUAAGGAAGAAGGGGAAAUAUGAAGACAUAAAUGUAUCUGCAGGUUUUUGCCAAGAAAAACAAAGUAUAAACCAGAAACUCAUCAAAUUGAUUACCUGUGAUGGGGGGAUGGGGGAAAAUGAGGAUUGCUUGAGCUCAGGAGGUCCUGGCUGCAGUGAGCCGUGAUCUCGCCACUGCACUCCAGCCUGAGCGACAGAGCGAGACCCUAUCUCAAAAUAAAAACAAAACAGACAGUA